AUGGAGCUUUUCUUCUGUGAUUUUUCUAACAGGGCCACAGGGGGAUUGAACAUUGAAUUCUACACUGCAAUCUUUAUAACAUUGGACCUGAACCAACUGAGCUAUUCACUGGUUUUGAGGGAGAAAACAUCUAGAGAUCAAAACAAGCUUCUCUCAAGAUCCUGCCACAAUCAACAUAUGGAACAGUUUCCACCACUCACAAGAAGCCCCCGCAUGCUGUUCUUUUGGGAACAUGCAAUGCCUUUUCUGCGGACUGCAUCCCGAACAGAAGCUGGAGUCAGUACAGAUCUUUAAAUCCCUGUUAUUUCCACUGAAUUUUGGAUGCUUCCUGCCCUUGAACACUGGACUCCAAGUUCUUCAGCUUCAGCACUUGGACUGGUUUCCUUGCUUCUCAGCUUGCAGACAGCCUAUUGUGGGACCUCACCUUCUGAUGGUGUGAGUCAAUACUCCUUAAUAUACUCCCCUGUAUACAUACAUCUAUCCUAUUAGUUCUGUCGCUCUAGAGAACCCUAAUACAUUCGUCUUUGCGUUUCCAUUGUUCAUACCCAAUGAGAUUCUUCUUCCCUUAGCCUAGUAAACAUAACCUUGUCUCAAUCCUGGUAUAGUGUAAGAAAGGCAGUUGGUGGUUACUCUGGCCUGUUGAGUGGGGGAAAGAGGUGGUGAUGCUUUGAGCUACUUGUUCCUGUCUACUUGAGGUUUUAGUGUGAAGAUAUAUUUGGGGUAAGGGUGAUGACACUGCCUAACACUUUUUCUAGUAUCUUCGGCACCAUUGGCCACUGUGUUCUAAGAGAUUGGGGAUAGAGACAAUAUUCUUUGAAAUUUUUCAUCUUGAGAGGUUUUUGUUUAGCCUCCUCAUUUAUGAUCAUGAAUAUCAGAAGCAAGAAAGGAAGAACUACAGACCUAUAAAAAUUUUGGCAAUGUUCUCUUUGGUAACUUGAGAGUAUUCUGUCCUAUUAUUCUGUCUCUAGCACUGGAUGUCUUUUCCUACUAAUUACCUUUAUAGUCAUUUGAAGGAAUUGGAGAGACCAAUGACUUAAGCGCUCGCCUGACAUUUGGUUGCCUCAUUUUCCUGUGUCUAUGUAGACGAGUGCAGGGUGGAGGCUUGGGCUAAGACUGAAAGCCCAGUAACUGACUUUACAAGUGUCUCUGAAUGAAGAGAGAAAUAAGACAUCCAACUAUCAAGGCCACCGUAAAGUGCUACUCAGUAAUGUCAUCAGGCUCAUAUGAAUUUCUUCUCCCAAAUUUUUGGGCUGUAACCUCUUCCUAAUAGGAAGAAAUGAAAUAAAGUCUAUUUUUCUAUUAUACUCCUGUGCAGAUCCAUUAGCUUCCUCUCUUGUGUUAGGAGAAAAAUAUAAUGUGUUUCUCCUUUCAUUUCAUUUCCCUUGGGGUCUGCAAGAAUUUUCAGGGUAGGAAAGGUAAGCCUGCUCAAGACUGGAUGUCUUCAGCUUGUUUCUAAAAAGUAGGAUGAUUUUAUAGCCCCAUCUGUCAAUUCAAUUAUACCAUUUAUUUUAAAAUUAAUAUUGAUAAAAUGCCUUCUGUGUGUUGAGAUGAUGGAAAUACAGUCUUGAAUAAAUGCCUCUCUCAGAACGUGGCAUGGAGUAAGUUCUCAUAGAUAUUUGCUGAGAAAAUGAAUGAAAGAAGACAUGAUUUUUGCUGUCAUGAUGCACAGUCUAUUGGCAGUGAGUGUAUGCGUAUACAUAUUGAAGUAUUUGCUAUUCCCAACAGAAGUUAUGGGGAAUAUGAGGCAGGAGCCUUUGAAUAUGGCUUGGAUAAUUGGGAAAGUUUCUAAAAUACAUGGCAUUUGAGUUGGAUUAUGAGAUAGCAUUUUCUUGAAGAAGAGGAUAGUACUGUAAUGAUUAACACAUGGACUUUGUAGUUCAGCACACUUGAGUUUGAGCUCCAGUUCUCCCAUGUGCUUAUGCCAGUGCCUUGCAAAACCACCUGAGUAAUCUGCUGACCAAGUAAAGCCAGUUUAUCAAACUUACUGCAGUAAGGAGGACACCAGCUUAAAAGAGCUUUCAUCCUGUCUUGAAAGAAACAGAUCAUAGGAAGGUACUUAAUGUACAUUAGCACUGGUGCUGGGUGAUUUUUAGGCUGACCUUGUAAGGUAGGGGACUGGUUAAGAAAGGGCAGAGUUUGUGGCAUAAAGUGAGGUGAGGAUUUUGAAAAAGUCUAGAAAAGCAAGCUAAUAGUUUCAAAAUAUAUAGUAUUUAGUUAAUUCAUUGUCUUCCAGAAGAUUUUCUAAAGCAAAUAAUUCCUUUUUUUUUUUUUUUGCUUGCUCUCAGAAUUGUUUAAUACAGAAUAGGAAAGUACGUUGAUUUCAGUACUCCCUAGCUAUGUGACUUUAAGUUUUUUUCCCCAACUUACUUUAAAUUGAAGCUUAUAGAAUUAAUGAAACUAAUAGAUGAUUUAAUAAGAUAAAAUGUAUUAUCACAUAGAACUUGACAUUUAGGAAACAUUCAAUAUAGGAUUGCAGAGAUGUCACCACCACCACCAUCAUCAUCAUCAACACAUCUUCAUCUUCAUCAUGACUCUAAUUAUGAUGAUUAUAUCAUAAUUGUUGCAGAACUGAACCUAGGUUUGCUCACUUAGCUCAGCAAAGCCAAACACUGACACUGAGGUUUGCAGUGAGAGAAAGGAAUGUGUUUAUUGCAGGGCACCAAGCAAGGAGAAUGGGCAGUUCUUGUUUAAGAGCUGGACUCCCAAAUGGCUUACAAGCAAGGAUUUUUAAGGCAUGGGUACAUCUCAGAAAAACAGAAGUUACAGGCAAAAUCAUAAUUAAUUCAUGGAGGUUAUGGAUUGGUUUGGCCCAAAAAGCUGGGAUAUCUUGAACCAGAGGCUUACAGGUCAUAGGUGGAUUCAGAGAUUCUUUAAUUUGCAGUUGGUUAAGGGAGGAAGGCUUUGUCUAAAAACAUGGGGGCAGCAGAAAGGGAUGUUAAGGUUUGGCUUUAACCAAUAUUAGUUAAGAUAAGGAAACCUAUUAACCAUCAUGGGGUGCUAAGCGAGAGGUCACAGCCAUAAUGUAUUGUGUCAGAGUGGUCAGGUUAGCAAGAUUGAUGGCCUGCAGUCAUGACUAUCUCUUCAGGCCCCUCGUGAAGAAAUUUACAACAAACAAUAGCAGUCCAUUCAGGCCUCAGUUUCCUUUUGUCUGAGGUCAGUGUGACAGCAGUCAGCAGUUUCCAUCUGGAGAGGGUCUUGGUUUCUAAAAAACAAAUUAACUCAAGAUGGAUUAAAGACUUAAAUGUAACACCCAAAACGAUAAAAAAAACACUAGAAGAAAAUGUAGGCAAUACCAUUCAGGUC
ensembl:lncRNA